CUCGAGACUUGCUUUGACCAAUAGAAUAUGGUGGAAGUGACACUAUAAAUUUUGAGGCUAAGCCUUAAGAGGCUUGGUUUCCACUCUGACCCUCCUGGCAUGCUGCCUGAGACUGCCCCAUAAGACUAUCCCACAAGAAGGCUAAGAGCUCCCAGGAGGGUGAGAGGUCACGUGAAGGAGACCCAAGGUGUCCCAACCAACCAGCUCUAGACUGGAGGACCCAGGAAGUCAAUGAGCCACUGCCGUGUGCCCACGCCGGAGACAGAAAGAGCCCAGAACCUGGAGUCAGCCAAGCUAGUUCUAACUCCAGCCCUGAGACACAGACAAGUCCCCUAAGCUCUUGGAGCCUCAUCGGAUCCUCACAAUGGUCCUACGAGGCAGUAAACCUCAUGAUCCCCAGUGCCCAUGAGGAAAUGGAACCACAGAGAGGUUGGGUGACCUGCCUAAGGUCACACAGCUAAACAGUGGCAGAGCCAGGAUUUGAACCUGGGAGUCAAUUCCAGAUCCCAUGCGCUUAGUAACUUUCUCAGGAGUUCCAGAGACUGGGCUGACUGACGAAAGUUCCAGAAAUUAGGACUUGCUCCAAUAAAUGGAACCCAGGUGUAGACGGCCUCUCUUACCUUUGCUGCAGAAGCAUCUCUCCUUCCUAGCCCCAGGGGCUGUGUCAUGCACAUGACCAAGGCUGGCCAGUUGCUACCCAGCAUCUCCUGAGCCUCAGUGAUUGCUCCACUGAUGAGGGCAUGUGAUCCAAGCUGAGCCAGUGACAAUCAACCCCAAGACCCUUGCUGGAGCUCCUGGAAUAAGACGAAUUGUUUACAAGGCUGGUGAGAUGAAAGCCUGGAGCUGUCCGGCACCAUCUUUACCAGAAGGUAGAGCAAGCCCACUGGAGAAUGAAUCCAACGCGGAGAACAGUAGGGCUUGGAGAUGGAGACAGAUCCCUGACAGCAUGGUCUGAGCUUCUGGAUCCAGCCAGGCCUGAAGCUCUUGCCCUCCCCACUUCCCAGUGACACAAUACAUUCUGCAAUGGCAUAAGCCAA